UUAAUACUUCUAUAUACUGUUAAUACCAAAUUUUAUUAUAUACAAAUUAACACAAAGUCACUACUUUCUGCUUAUACAAGACUCCACUGUAAAAUGGAUGUUUUGUUGCUUUAGAAUUAUUUCGUGGCAUAAAUGAGUAACAGCCUUAUCUAAAUGAAAUCCGUAUUGUUCUGUAGAAAUGUUGUGCUGGAGUAUGAUGGAUUUUUUUUGAUACUGUUAUUCCGUGAUUUAGAUGAUUAAAAGUUGAUUAACAAAGCAGAGGAGAGGAAAGGGGAAAAUGAUAGGAAGGUUAUGAGUGGUAACUGUAAACAAGGACAUACAAGUACCACUAGUUAGAGCAGCCAUUUUAAAUGUAAUUAAAACUAGGAAAUACGUUUGAAAUUUUAAUAUGAAAAUAAGUUGAUGUAACUGGGAUCAUGAUUUUAGUAGAACAUGUCUCUAAACAAACCUGAAUCUGACAGCAUUAAAUUCAACAUUUGAGGGAUAGUUCUAUAUUGCUUAGCAUGCAGAAAGUCAUUGUGAUGCUCUAAGUUCCAUUACACUGUCAUGACAUAUGUGAGAAGUUUGUUACCAUAUCUUUCCAAACUAAGAAACAAAAAAGUUUACUGCAGUUAUAACUGAAUUUAUCCCUGGUAAGAUGAUGAGCAUCAACCAUUCUUUCCUUCAUCAUUAUGGAACCACAGAAUAGGAAAUGAUAGCUAAAAGAUGAGGUUUAUCACUGUAAACAGAGUUGCUUCAACAUACCAACCAUCUCCAAAGCAUUGACAUCUAUGGUCCCUCCAACUACUCCUCCUUUAGAAUCCAACUGUGAUCUUCCCAGACCAACAGACAUGCUUAUCUCUCGAUCUCGAUUACUUCCUACUGACAGACGGCCCUGGCUCUUCAAACCACUAGUUGUCCAACUGGAAAAAAGAAAAAGGGUUAUUAAGUAGACAUAUAGUUUUCAAUGUCAUAAGUUAAAACAGGAAUGAGAGGAUUUUUUUAAAAGUUUAACAAAAUAUUUCUUAUAAAAACUGUGGUAAAUGUUUGAAUAUUGAUAAUAAAGCUUUCUUCAUAGCAAAUUACACUAUUUUCCUUAUAAUUUUCUUUUUAGAAUACUAUAUUCCAUGCCACUUUA